AAAACAACAAGCCGACCUGCAAUCCACACCACUUCUGCACAUAGUUUCCAUGCCACAUUUCCCCUUAAAAUCCCUUUAGCCAGCCUGAGACUCUGAGAUGGCUUUUUGAGAUUUCAGUCUGGCCAUCUCCAAAGUUGCUAGCACAUAAAUAAACCUGCUUUCUUUCCAUCAAGUAGUGAGCAGUUGAACCUGAGUUUGGUUACAAUUACCUGGCAUUCAGCACAGGGUGAUAGGCCUCAGGCAUCCAGCCUCUCUGGUUUCAAACAGAUGGAGUAAUUGGCCAAGGCAGCGUCAGGACUUACCUGUACGCACUAUGGGCAGAGUGACAACUGCUCACGAGUGCCAGCUGCUCAUGGAUAGCUGACCUCACAGCUGGGAUUCUAAAGACAUCCAGGAGCUGCUAAGAAUUCUUUAUCUCAGGUAUCCUCCCUUCUUUCUCCAUUGUGGCAUCAGGUGCCUGCAACACUUCACUGGUGCAAGGAAUACUAUGAUUGGGAAGCUGAAGGGCUUCAGGACUGCUUAAGCUAAACUGCAUGAAUAUGAGUCAAAUCUGAAGGGCUCAGAACAUUCAGGACAUACACAAAUGUGAUGCAAAAAAACUUAUUUAUUGAAGACAAUUUUGUUAGAGCUGCUGUUUCCAGGAGUCCUAUGAAAGCUGUGUACAAAAAAGCAUGAUUUCUGGCAGUGAAUAUGAGCAGCUGGUGCUAAGGUUAUUAAAUAAGGUGUAUCCUAGAUGCACUUAACUUUUUGGGAAUGUUGUUACAUGCAAAACAUAUGGGAAAGAUGCCAGUCCACUUAAAGUAAGGAAAAAAAUCAUGCUCAUUUAUUUAAAUUUUGUUUUAAGUGCAUAUAUAAGUGCCUACAGAUAAACUUUGCUGAAGUGAAGUUAAAAUAGCAUGUCCUUUAAAAAAAGUACUGUAUUAAAUAAUUAGUUUUAUCCAGAAUAUAGAUGUCUCCAAACACUCUUUGCAUAAAUAUUAUCCAAGAAGACAAUUACUGUUCACCAAGACUUGCAAUUUUAUAAAGAUUCAGAGAGUAAAAAGUUUCCUAUAUACUUGUAAGAGGAAAUGGACACAAGCUAAAUUAAUUAAUUAAUUAAUUAAUUCUUGGUAUUUAAAAGUACCAAAAAAGUAAGGUUUUAAGGUUUUUUAGUUAUUAAAUAUAACAUAUUCAGCACACAUAUGACACAUAUGAUAUGCUACUUAUGUUAAUUUAGUAUAUUUGUACCUGGACAGAAUGAGAUCCAGCUGCUUGCUCUCAUGGUCCAAUAACAUGAUUCAGAUAGACUGGAAAAGAAGGGAGUUUAUUUCAGCAACUGAUUACAGCUAGAAGGUUGGAGUAACUCAUCAGACCAAUUAAAAUUUACAAGUUUUUGUUCUAGUGCUUGUAUACAUUUUAGACAUGAAGUCUACAAGUGGGAGUGCACCUACAAGCAGGAGUGUUUCAUUCAAUCUAUAUCUAAUCUUUAACUGGGAUCUGGGGUCUGGAAAGCUUUCUCUAGAGUCUUAGAAAGUUUCUUAAUUUUAAGUGGGCCCUGGUACAAAGUGCAUGUCUAAGAAAGCUUGUAUUAUUUGGUCAGACUUUAAGGUCUGAGAAAACCCAGGUGGGGUCUUAAUGGAUUUGUUUUUACAUUGCAGCCCUUGUACUCCCACGCACAUUCCUCCAGUUCUUUAAUGUUUGACUUAUGCAGUCAUCAAAAUUAUAGCAAAGGGUUAGUGGAAUUGAUGUAGUUACCAAUGGACAAAAUGAUAAAGGAAAUAUGGUAUAUGUAUAUAUAAUUAAAUACUAUUUGAAAUAGUUAUCAAUGGACAAAAUGAUAAAGAAAUAUGAUAUAUGUAUAUACAAUUGAAUACUAUUUGGAUAUAGAAAUAAUGAAAACAUGUCAUUUGCAGCAACAUGCAUGAAACUAGAGGUUGUUAUGUUAAGUGAAAUAACCCAGGCACACAAAGGCAAAUAUUGCAUGUUCUUAUUCAGAUGUGGAAGCUAAACAAUGUUGAUACCUGGAGCAGAGCAAGCUUCUCUAACCUGGGUCCCGAAGGCUGCAUGGGGCCCGCAGGCUUCAGGCAGCCCAGGAUGGCUUUGAAUGCGGCCCUAGACAAAUUUGUAAACUUUCUCAAAACGUUAUAAGGUUUCUUGUGAUUUUUUUUUCUUAGCUCAUCUGCUAUCAGUAGUGUAUUUUAUGUUUGGCCCAAGACAAUUCUUUUUCUUCCAUUGUGGCCCAGGGGUGCCAAAAGAUUGGAUAUCACUGGAGUAGAGAGUAGAAUGAUAGUUACUAGGGUCUGGGAAGGGUGUGGGUAUGUGUGUGUUAGUGGAGGUGAAUGAAGAAAGAUUGAUGUAAUGGGUACAAACAGAGUUAGAUAACAGAAUUAAGUUCUAAUGUUCAAUAACACAGUAGGGUGACUAUAGUUGACAACAAGGUAUUGUAUAUUUCAAAAUAGCUAGGAGAGCACCUGAAAUGUUCUCAAUAUGUAGAAAUGCUAAGUGUUCAAGGUGACAGAUAUCCUAGAUAUCCUGAGUUGAUCAUUACACACUCUAUGUAUGUAACAAAAUACCAUAUGUACCUCAUAAAUAUACACAAACAUUAUGUAUUAAUAAAGAAGAUAAUAUAAAAAUUCCUGUAAAGAUAAAAUAUGUAGUAUUUAAAAAUAUAAAAUGAUUAUAUGUCAUGAAUAUUCCUAAACUGAAAAUAGUGUUUUCUAUUAAAAUGCCUUUUUAAAAUACUUAUAAUGUAGUUAAUGUUUUUAGCCAUUGCACCUUAUCAAGAAAACAACAUAAAGACACACAUAAGGAAACUUAUAAAGAAAAUGUAUUUAUUUGUAAGAAAUACUGUAUUUUUAGACUAGGUUAAUUAGGUAAAUGCUAUACUUUUAAGCAAGGUUACAUGUUACAUUUUUAUAAAAUUGUUUUGUAUAAUAUUUAUUUGAUUGCAAUUGUUUUUUGACAUUCAGAAAAUGAUACUUUUUAUGUGUUAAUUUUAACUAUCUCCCUCAGUAUAAAAGUAUUAUGCUCACUGAUGUCAUAA
rnacentral:lncRNA from 1 species